CACACACACACACACACACUUUCAUUUACUUUCAAGACUGGGCUGUGAUAAUGUGAUGUAGUCAUGUGAUACAAUGACGUUGGGACCUUGGGGAAGCACCCUGAAGUGUGCCCACUAUAACCGGAGCACAUUGUCAUCAACUAGUGAAUGAGUAUUCAGGAAAAUGAGUGCAAGGGUAAUCGCUUGUGCACUGUGUAAAAACAUCAUUUGUCAAUAAAAAGCUGAAUGGCCAAUAGCAAAGCAGGAGAGAAUAGGCAGGACUUCCGGGAAGAGAUAGGAACUCUGGGAAAGAGUCAGGCGUGGGAGAUUGGCCACAGGGAUGGGCAGAAGUCUGUCGCGUGAAACUGAGGAGGUAACCAGCUGUGUGGCAGAAUUUAGACUAGUAUAGACAGGGAACUGGGGCGGAUGGAGAAAAGCCCAAACUUUUGCAAAUGAGCGACACAUCUCUUCACCUGAACAUUGUGACCGCUAAGCUGAAAGGUCUGAAUGCUGAAUAGGUUUGCUGAACACAGUUGCCAAGUCAACAAGAAAACCACGCACGGCUUCUGAAAAUCUGUCCAGUGCUCUGAGCAGAGGGCCCCGCAGGCUUCUUUGUGUUCUCAUCUGUGUUUUCUGGCCCUUUCUUGGGGGUUACAAUUCAUUUCUUCCUGAACAUCAGACUCACAGUUGAGAAUAUUCGUUGGAAACUGCACUGAAGUGCUUCGGACUCCGGCAGACCUCCAGCCCAUGGGCAAACGAUUUUCCUGACUCAUCUGGUUCUGAUGCCCUCCGUAUGAGUGUGGGUUUGGCAAAAGCUCCUGAAGCCUCCGUUGUGAUUUUAUUUCUAGGAUUAUUCCUCUAAAGAAGGAUUGCAGAACUCUGUGGAGUACACAGAACACCCUUGGGAAAUAUCUGCUACCAAGUGGAUGAAGUGGUGUUUUCCACGUCACCCAUCUCAAAUAUCCUUAUUUCUGUUCGUCUCUUACCAUUUUUAUUCUUAUUUUUUUUUUAAGAUUUAUUUAUUGUAUGUG
rnacentral:sRNA from 1 species